rnacentral:rRNA from 1 species
CCAGACUCCUACGGGAGGCAGCAGUGAGGAAUAUUGGUCAAUGGGCGAGAGCCUGAACCAGCCAAGUCGCGUGAGGGAAGACUGCCCUAUGGGUUGUAAACUUCUUUUGUCAAGGGACAAAAUCAGGCUCGAGAGCCUGACCGAGGGUACUUGAAGAAAAAGCAUCGGCUAACUCCGUGCCAGCAGCCGCGGUAAUACGGAGGAUGCGAGCGUUAUCCGGAUUUAUUGGGUUUAAAGGGUGCGUAGGCGGGCUUUUAGGCCAGCGAUAAAAGCCGGGGCCCCACCCCCGGCGAGCCGUUGAAACUGGCUGUCUUGAGAUGUCGAGAGGUAUGCGGAAUGCGCAGUGUAGCGGUGAAAUGCAUAGAUAUCACGCAGAACUCCGAUUGCGAAGGCAGCAUACCGGCGCGCAACUGACGCUCAUGCACGAAAGCGUGGGUAUCGAACAGGAUUAGAUACCCCGGUAC